AUGCGAUGGUGGGUUCAUGCAGGGGCAGGCUAUAGUUUUCCGGCAUACAGUGGCCCACGCCACCGCAGCCUGGCUCCGCCAAUACGCGAGGGCGAUGGCAGCAGCGGCAAUGGGGUGGUAGCGGUGGCAGUGGUAGCAGUGGCCCGUCUGGAGUUGGUGGCAUUCUGGAACACUCGUCACAGUUCCUGCUUAAUUGUGGCUUCUAUCUUAGAAGAAAUAGGAGAGCUAGUUUAUGAUUUUUCUGUUUUUGAAAUUCAGCAUGUAAACAAGUCAGUUAACUUACGAGCACAUCUUUAUGCAAAAUGUGCUUGCACUCUGAAUGCGACCGAGAGAUGGCUCGACAAAACACCAUAUUUUCUGGUAACCAGGUUGUUGGCUGAUUGUCCAGGGAAUACUUUCAUGGAAUAA
rnacentral:rRNA from 1 species